UACGGGGGGGGCAAGCGUUGUUCGGAAUUACUGGGCGUAAAGGGCUCGUAGGCGGCCAACUAAGUCAGACGUGAAAUCCCUCGGCUUAACCGGGGAACUGCGUCUGAUACUGGAUGGCUUGAGUUUGGGAGAGGGAUGCGGAAUUCCAGGUGUAGCGGUGAAAUGCGUAGAUAUCGGGGGGAACACCAGUGGCGAAGGCGGCUCUCUGGGGUGCACCUGACGCUGAUGCGCGAAAGCAUGGGGAGCAAACAGG
rnacentral:rRNA from 1 species